CUUUUAUUUUACUCCAUGAAGGAAGGACUACAAAAUAGGGAAGGUUUGAUACAGGGCAGCCAUAAUCCCUUGAGCAUACCAGCACAUACACAGGAGCCCUGCCCAGUUGCUAUGCCAACCCUGAUGGUCCUAGACAGAAGACCAUCAAGAUCACAAAGAACUUGCAUAUGGGAGUGGAUUCAGCACGGACUGGAACAAAGGACAAUAAUCAGCUCUUCCCUCUGGGGGCAGGAAACUGCAAACUCCCCUCUGUCACCUGGAAAGUACUCAUGGGGAGGGGGAAAGGGGGAACCAGCCAGGUGACAGGACACUCAGGUUACCACCACAACUCCUCCCUCAACCCCUCCUUUCUGUGAUGUAGGUGUGAUGUAUCUGAGGGGUGGUCUUAGGUUACAUCCCUUCUGUGAUGUAUGUAUGAUGUUUCUGGGGGUGGUCUUGAGCUACAGGGUGGCAAUUUCAAAAGUCUUUAUAAGGCCUUGCACACCAUUUUUCUGGGUCCCUCCUCUCUCCUGCAGGUGAGGGGAGCACCCUGUUGCAACAGAU